rnacentral:rRNA from 1 species
AGUGUCGUAGCUAACGCGAUAAGUGAUCCGCCUGGGGAGUACGGUCGCAAGAUUAAAACUCAAAGGAAUUGACGGGGGUCCGCACAAGCGGUGGAACAUGUGGUUUAAUUCGACACUACGCGAGGAACCUUACCUGGGCUUGACAUGUAUUUGACCGUCGUAGAAAUACGAUUUUCUAGGCGUAAGUCUAGACAGAUACACAGGUGCUGCAUGGCUGUCGUCAGCUCGUGUCGUGAGAUGUUGGGUUAAGUCCUCUAACGAGCGCAACUCCUACCAUCAGUUGCUAUCCUUCGGGAGCACUCUGAUGGAACUGCCUGGGAAACCAGGAGGAAGGUGGGAACGACGUCAAGUCAUCAUGGCCCUUAUGUCCAGGGCUACACACGUGUUACAAUGGCGAGGUACAAAGGGUUGCAAUCCCGCAAGGGGGAGCCAAUCUCAUAAAACUCGUCUAAGUUCGGAUUGAGGUCUGCAACUCGACCUCAUGAAGUUGAAAUCGCUAGUAAUCGCGUAUCAGCAACGACGCGGUGAAUACGUUCUCGGACCUUGUACACACCGCCCGUCACACCAUGAGAGCUGUCUGUACCCAAAGUCAUUUUAGCUAACCGUAAGGAGGCGGAUGCCUAAGGUAUGGGGAGUGAUUGGGGUGAAGUCGUAACAAGGUAGCCGUAGGAGAACCUGCGGCUGGAUCACCUCCUUUCUG